rnacentral:rRNA from 1 species
UACGUAGGUGGCGAGCGUUGUCCGGAUUUACUGGGCGUAAAGGGCGUGCAGGCGGUUUGUUAAGUGCAGGGUGAAAGCUCCCGGCUCAACUGGGAGAGGUCCUUGCAUACUGGCGAACUCGAGGGAGGCAGAGGAAAGUGGAAUUCCCGGUGUAGUGGUGAUAUGCGUAGAUAUCGGGAGGAACACCUGUGGCGAAGGCGGGUCUCUGGACAGUUCCUGACGCUGAGGCACGAAGGUCAGGGGAGCAAACGGG